rnacentral:lncRNA from 10 species
UGAGCCUGGCAGCUGGGGACUUCCUGGAGGAGGCAUAUGCAAGCUGGGUCAUGAAGGAUGAGCAGGAUUUAGACAAUGGCAGAAGAAGGGAGGGAAUUCUGAGAGGAGAGAGCCCUGUGGGCAAUGACCUGGAGGCUGAAAGGCACAGAGCAUAUUCCAUCCUGGCCAGUAUAAGGUGCAUGGGGAGAAGCAGGAAGAGGGUUACCUAGAAGGACCCCAACACCAGGCUGAGGAGUAUAGUGAUGUCCAGUUAAAUUAGAAUUUCAGAAAGGCAACAACUAUUUGGUAUGGCCCAGGUAAUAUUUGACGUCCCACAUUUUUAUGCACUAGAUCAGCCAACCCUAGGUUCAAAGUCAUCUUGAGCUGUGCUCCCAAACCACCACCAUGGCCUCAGCUGAGGGCUGGCGAGAUGAGCCCCCAGCGUUCUGGAGCUGAGAAAACAGCGACACGGGGGCUUCUUCCUGUCCCUCCACACGUGCUGUGUUUGCCGUUCCCUCGGCCUGGAAGGCAUCUGCCUACCCCAUGUAUGGGGCUCACCCCUUCUUUCCUCUGGGUCUCUGCUCACAUGUCCCCUGCUGAGAGAAGUGUCCCUGACCACCCACCUAAAAUAGGCC